CAGGUCUCUGCCUCCGGUCUCUUGUUGCCCCUAGGGACGUAUGGUACUAUUCUGUCCGGGUCCCAUGAGUGGGUGGCUUGCGUUGGUCCUGGUGUUGGGGCGUUCUGAGUUAGUCCCAAUUUUUGGAGAAGCGCUGGGGCCUCCGAGAGUGAGGUGAGUUUUAGAACCUCUUCUCCGCUGAAUACCACCAGGGUUCUUGGCAACAGCCAUCUGUAUUCUACGUUCCCCUUCUGCAGUUGUUCCGUUAUGUUGCUCAAGGACUUUCUCCAGAGUAGGGUGCUCCGCGUGAUAUCUUGGAAGAAGGUAAG